rnacentral:sRNA from 1 species
GUAUAAUAAUUUUUAGGAAAAGCAUUCUGAACCAUUAUAUUUAGAUCAGACUACAUAAAUAUAGAUAGUAAGAGAAAAUAGGUGAUGUUUUUAAUAUGUAUUUCAAUAUAGUUGUUUCCAAUUAUGUUGCAGGCUUUACUCAUCAGUCUUAAAUAUGGUUGUUUUAUGUGGCAAUUGGGAGAUACUGAUACUUGUUUUCAGAUCCAUAGCAUGGAAAAUAAAAUGAGCUUUAUAGUACAUACAAAACAGGCUGGUCUCGUGGUAAAACUGUUAAUGAAGCUAAAUGGACAGUUAAUGCCCACUGAAAGAAAUUCAUGAAAGAGAAGUAACUGUUACUCAAGCCACCACAUUUUGUAAUGCAGAGUUUUUUUUCCGUGAAAGAUUUCUUAAAGUAUUACUUUUGGCCGAGCGUGGUGGCUCACCCCUGUAAUUCCAACACUUUGGGAGGCUGGGGCAGGCGGAUCACCUGAAGUCAGAGUUCAAGACCAGCCUGGCCAACAUGGUGAAACCCUUUCUCUACAAAAAUACAAAAAUUAGCUGGACGUGGUGGCGGGCGCCUAUAAUCCUAGCUACUAGGGAGGCCGAGGUGGGAGAUCGCUU